rnacentral:misc_RNA from 2 species
AACGCACAUUGCGCCCCUUGGUAUUCCAUGGGGCAUGCCUGUUCGAGCGUCAUUUGUACCCUCAAGCUCAGUCUUGGUGUUGGGUGUUUGUCCUGCCCUCGUGGUGGACUCGCCUUAAAGUGAUUGGCAGCCGGAAUAAUUCUGGGGAACGCAGCACAACUGCAGCCUCUAGUUUUAUACGCCGAGCGUCCAACAAGCCUUUUAUUCUUGCGUUUGACCUCGGAUCAGGUAGGGAUACCCGCUGAACUUAA